rnacentral:tRNA from 1 species
GGGGCUAUAGCUCAGCUGGGAGAGCGCUUGCUUUGCACGCAGGAGGUCAGCGGUUCGAUCCCGCUUAGCUCCACCA